CAGUUGUCUGAACUUCCUGUUAUUGAAACCGAAAGUCGAAUAUUUGGCGACAGUGAGUGUAGUGAACGUUUUGUUGACACGUGAGCAGACAUGUUGGAUAUUCUGCUGCUUGAAACUCUGGAAGACUUGGGCAAAGAGGACUUUGGAAGGUUUAAGUGGUUCCUCAAUCAUGAGAUCGUGGAUGGCUGCAAACCCAUUCCCGUGUCCAAACUGGAAGACGCAAACCAGUUGAAGACUGUGACACAGAUGAUCAGCAGCUACGGUAAAGAAACGGCCGUGAACGUCACUGUUGCGGUUCUGAAGAAGAUGAGAAACAAUCAUGCUGCGGAGAAGUUGAUGAGAAGUACACAGGAGAGAUGACAAAAGCUGCACCCUCCGCCUCCUCCUCCUCCUCCUCUGCUGCUGCUGCACCUCCUGCUGUCGCCACGAUGUCGGCUCAGAACGGGAGUGUGAUCAUCGCUCCGUCAAUUGGUGGCACAGUUCACACAAUGAACUUUACCGUCCAUAAACGAGCACAACAAGACUGAAAUAUGGGAAUAGAUUAUACUAUUUGAUACUGAUUGACUUCUACAAAAGUUCACAAAACAAUGACAUGUUCCAAGUAAAAUUGACAUUUUAACUGUUAGAGUCCUCCAACAGUGCAAGACAAUUUUCUUAAAGUCUCCAGAUUUAACAUUAAUUAGCGGUACAAACAUUAUUAACACACAAUAACAUACACACCUUGAUAUAUCACACUAUGUUGUAGUUAUAAGCAGAUAAAACGAACUUUUUAAUGUCUUAAAACGCACACCCAAUGAAGACACAUUUUCUAAUAACAGCCGAGAUGUGCAAACACACUUCAACAGCUAAAUUCCAUUAGGAGAAACACCUGAAGUUUGAAAAAACAACACGCGUCAAAAGACAUGCAAAUGUAGGAACAUUUACACCAAUUUGACGACACAUGCGCAGCGUUCACUAAAAGCGUUGCAUAAGUGAAGCACUGCAAAAACAAAACACUGCAAGUAGCCUAGAACACAACGGGAAAGGGGACACAAAAAGGGGGUGCAACCUCUAUUCCGACAUCCCCCUAUUCCAACAUGCCUCGAUUACGACAUGCCUCUAUUCCAUGGAUUCGGGAGGGCUAUCAGAGGCGUCCAUGAGGGAGGAAGGGGGCCCUGCGUGUCUGACAGUGUCAACUACCGCUCCGAAUGCUUCCACUUAAGUGGAGCUAUGCAGACCCAACUAACCAUGUCAGAAUGGCGGAAUGUUUGAAAUAAAGUAAAGUGCCGCUACUCCGACAAUGGAAAAAAUGUUGUCGGAGUAGUGGCACGUUUAAAAAAAAAGGAAAUGCCACUACUCCGACAAUUAGACGUCAAUGUCGGAGUAGAGGUAUGUCGGAAUAGCAGCAUGUAACCACAAAAAAGUGACGCACACAGCGGGGACCAGAUAAUUAUUGAUGUUCGGGGAUUAUAAGGUUGGCCAACUGUCAAUGUUUUUGAACACUCACCUAAAAUGUACUUUUUAUUGGCUUAUUUUAACAAUGUGAUCACAUGACUCCUUCUGAUAUUAUUGCAGAUUUGCUGUAAGCUAGCUAGCUAACGUACAAACAAAACACUUGAAACGUCAAUAAGCGCUCUGUGUGCAUCACUUUUUAGUGUCCCCGUCGUUUCCGCUGUGUUUUGAGUUUGAGUUAUAAAGCAAUAAUUCAAUGUCAAAACAAUGCUUUUUAUUUCUUUAGUUGUUGUUGUUAAGACCAGAGCAAACCCAAGUCUCAUGAUGACCAAAUACAGUUUGUGACAAUGACAUGACACAAUACUUGACUGAAUGUAAAUUUUAGACCAAGUAACCUUUUUUACAUUUUCUAAAUCAUACUUUGUGCCAAAUAAAAAACAACAACAGCA